GGUCAUAAAUUUAAGACAUGUAGUUCUUAGAUUUAAAUUUGAUAGUGGUUGAAAAAAUUUGACAAUAGUUCACAUUCUUAAAAGUCAAGGAAAAUAAAAACAUAACCGCAUUAUGGGUUGAAUUUUCCCCCAAAAUAUAUGUUGAAGUCCUAAUGCCUACACCUAAGAAUACAGCCUUACUUGGAAACAGGGUCUUUGCAGAUAUAAGAUGAGGUCACAAUGGAGAAGGGUGGGCCCUUAAUCAUAUUAGAGAAGACACAGAAACAGAGACAUGGGGAGUAACACCAUGUGAAGACAGAGGUGGAGAUUGGAGGGGUGCAUGUACCAACCAAAGGAAUAUCAAGGGCUGGCAGCAGCACUAGAGCAAGCGAAAGGCAUGAAACAGAUUCUCCCCUAGAGCUGUAAGAGGCAGUGUGGCCCUGGCAACACCUUGCUUUAGGACUUCUAACCUCUAGAAUAAUGAGAUAAUGAGAGUAUAUUUCUGUUGGUUUCGGCCAUGCGGUUUGUGGUAACUGGUUCCAGCAGCCCUAGGAAUCUAAUACACUGCCCAUGGAACAAAUCCUUUCUUGACCACCAAUGGCUGCAUGACUUAUCCUGAGAAGAUCAUGGGGAUUUUGGAUGCCAGGUCAACCCUUACACUCAGCAAGGAAGUGGAAGGGCCUCAGUUUCAAACACUUUGUAAACACAGAGAUAAGGUCGUCCCUCUGUCACCCAGCCUGGAGUGUAGUGGUGCCGCCAGGCCUCACUGCAACCUCCAACUCCUGGGCUCAAGUGAUCCUCCAACCACAGCCUCCUGACUAGCUGGGAUUACAGGUUAUUUUGAGGAUCAAGUGAAACUUAGAAACAAUAACAACAAAAAAAGCAAAGUCUGUGAUCAAGAAGAAUUACUCUGUUGCAACAAUAUAAACUAAGAAAAAAAUACGCAAAAUUCUCUGCUGCCUUGGGAGAUGAUCUCAUGAUGUGUAUCAUUUACUUUUAAUAUUUUUAUUUAUUUAUUUUUGAGACGGAGUCUCGCUCUGUCGCCCAGGCUGGAGUGCAGUGGCGUGAUCUCGGCUCACUGCAACCUUCGCCUCCCGGGCUCAAGUGAUUCUCCUGCUUCAGCCUCCUGAGUAGCUGGGAUUAUAGGCAUGUGCCGCCAUGCCUGCCUAGUUUUUUAUUUUUAGUAGAGAUGGGGUUUCACCAUGUUGGUCAGGCUGCUCUCAAACUCCUGACCUUGUGAUCUGUGCGCCUCAGCCUCCCAAAGUGCUGGGAUUACUGGUGUGACCGACCGUGCCUGGCCAAUGUGUAUGAUUUAAUAGCCAGCAGCAACAGGCCACUAACAUGCCAUCUGCUAACAGGGGCUCUAGCUAUUAACAUCAACAGAGCUAAAAACUCUUAUGUCUGAUCCCUUGCAAAUGGCGAAGACCUGGCUGAGAAUUAUUAUCUCAUGCUUUCAGAGAAAACUUUGCUUGUCCUGCACUGAAAAAUCUGGCUGCAAUAAUCACAUGGAAGAAGGUAUGUUUGUUGGCAUGGUUCAUGGGCUGGCUUAUGACUUCUAAGCAGAAGAUACAAAAUAAUAUAAAAAUCCUGCAACAUGCACAAUGUAGCUGAUAUUCAUGUUCUCUUUAAAUAUCUUAACACUGACUUACAUAUUUAAGGGUGUGGAGUCUUUGAGCUUGGGAAGCAUCUUAUUACUGAGGUACAAAUGCUAAAAGAGGGACAUUUCUUCUAUCUACCGCAUUUUCAAUGAAAAGAUGCUGAAGGUGAAUAAACAGCUCUGCAAACCCAGUUUUGUUUAACUUGGCAACAGCAGUAAGUAAGUAUCACUGGACACAGAGACACUGGAAUAGAUUCAGUCUUUAGUCUUAUUCAUCACGUCUGACCUUGGGCAUAUUACAUGGUUUUCCUGAGCCUAUGAAAUCAUGCGGCUGAACGAGCUGAAAACUAAGAUUCUUUCCUUUGCUAAUAAAUUUCAGCAAACGAUAGGAGUAAGAACGGCUGUCUAACGAGACUACCAAAUGCUACGAGACGCAGCAAGCAAUGUCCCUUUACCUAAUGGAUACAGCUUCUUAACUGUUUAUCCAAAGUCUCCCCAAGCAAAUUCUAAAUUAUUCUAAAUUAUUUGAGUAACAAAGAUUGGGCCCUUAUACCUGUGACGUGUCUGGCAAUGACAAAGAAUGUGGAACAUGGGAAGCAUUUAAUACAUAUUUAUU
rnacentral:lncRNA from 1 species